rnacentral:rRNA from 1 species
CCUACGGGAGGCAGCAGUGAGGAAUAUUGGUCAAUGGACGCAAGUCUGAACCAGCCAUGCCGCGUGCAGGAAGACGGCUCUAUGAGUUGUAAACUGCUUUUGUACGAGGGUAAACGCAGAUACGCGUAUCUGUCUGAAAGUAUCGUAAGAAUAAGGAUUGGCUAACUCCGUGCCCGCAGCCGCGGUAAUACGGAGGAUUCAAGCGUUUUCCGGAUUUAUUGGGUUUAAAGGGUGCGUAGGCGGUCGAGUAAGUUAGAGGUGAAAUCCCGAGGCUCAACUUCGGAAUUGCCUCUGAUACUGUUCGGCUAGAGAGUAGUUGCGGUAGGCGGAAUGUAGGGUGUAGCGGUGAAAUGCUUAGAGUUCAUACAGAACACCGAUUGCGAAGGCAGCUUACCAAGCUACUUCUGACGUUGAGGCACGAAAGCGUGGGGAGCAAACAGGAUUAGAUACCCCUGGUAGUC